AUUGAACGCUGGCGGCAUGCUUUACACAUGCAAGUCGAACGGUAACAGGGUGCUUGCACCGCUGACGAGUGGCGAACGGGUGAGUAAUGCGUCGGAACGUGCCGAGUAGUGGGGGAUAACGCAGCGAAAGUUGUGCUAAUACCGCAUACGUACUGAGGUAGAAAGUGGGGGACCUUCGGGCCUCACGCUAUUCGAGCGGCCGAGGUCUGAUUAGCUAGUAGGUGAGGUAAAGGCUCACCUAGGCGACGAUCAGUAGCGGGUCUGAGAGGAUGAUCCGCCACACUGGGACUGAGACACGGCCCAGACUCCUACGGAGGCAGCAGUGGGGAAUUUUGGACAAUGGGCGAAAGCCUGAUCCAGCCAUGCCGCGUGUCUGAAGAAGGCCUUCGGGUUGUAAAGGACUUUUGUCGGGGAGGAAAUCCCCAGCGCUAAUACCGCUGGGGGAUGACAGUACCUGAAGAAUAAGCACCGGCUAACUACGUGCCAGCCGCCGCCGUAACAC
rnacentral:rRNA from 1 species